rnacentral:rRNA from 1 species
CCCUUAGAUGUCCGGGGCCACACGCGCGCUACACUGACGGAAUCAGCGUGGCUUUCUCCCUGACCCGAAAGGGUUGGGAAACCCGUUGAAUCUCCUUCGUGAUAGGGAUUGGGGCUUGAAAUUGUUCCCCAUGAACGAGGAAUUCCCAGUAAGCGCGAGUCAUAAGCUCGCGUUGAUUACGUCCCUGCCCUUUGUACACACCGCCCGUCGCUCCUACCGAUUGAAUGUUCCGGUGAGCUCUUCGGACUGCGCGGUCUGCAGUUUCUGCGUUCCGUGCGGAAAGUUGCGCAAACCUUAACAUUUAGAGGAAGGAGAAGUCGUAACA